AACGUAGGUGGCAAGCGUUAUCCGGAUUUACUGGGCGUAAAGCGUGUGCAGGCUGUUCACCAAGUGGUGUAUGAAAGCGCUCGGCUCAACCGGGCAAGGGUAUUCCAGACUGGUGGACUAGAGACUGACAGAGGGUGGUGGAAUUCCGGGUGUAGUGGUGAAAUGCGUAGAGAUCCGGAGGAACCCCAGAGGCGAAGGCGGCCACCUGGGUCAGUUCUGACGCUCAGACACGACAGCAUGGGGAGCGAACGGG
rnacentral:rRNA from 1 species